rnacentral:rRNA from 1 species
GACGAACGCUGGCGGCGUGCUUAACACAUGCAAGUCGAACGGAAAGGCCCUUCGGGGUACUCGAGUGGCGAACGGGUGAGUAACACGUGGGUGAUCUGCCCUGCACUUUGGGAUAAGCCUGGGAAACUGGGUCUAAUACCGAAUAGGACCACGCGCUUCAUGGUGUGUGGUGGAAAGCUUUUGCGGUGUGGGAUGGGCCCGCGGCCUAUCAGCUUGUUGGUGGGGUAAUGGCCUACCAAGGCGACGACGGGUAGCCGGCCUGAGAGGGUGACCGGCCACACUGGGACUGAGAUACGGCCCAGACUCCUACGGGAGGCAGCAGUGGGGAAUAUUGCACAAUGGGCGCAAGCCUGAUGCAGCGACGCCGCGUGAGGGAUGACGGCCUUCGGGUUGUAAACCUCUUUCAAUAGGGACGAAGCGCAAGUGGCGGUACCUAUAGAAGAAGCACCGGCCAACUACGUG